rnacentral:lncRNA from 1 species
GCAGAGCUUACAUCGCAGUGGACAGAUCAGUGGAUAACCUAGCAAAUCAACAGAAUGACCCAUGCACAAGUGGGAUAAAUAGAAAACAAAUGAUGCAGGUGCUGUUCAAGAAUUUCAUAUUUAUUCAAAUAGCAAGAAGAUGCUGACAGCCUCAUUUUAGUGCAUAGCUGAUUCCAAGUCUGUUCUUUGGGAAAUAUUGCAUCCUGGGAUCCUUGGA